GACGAACGCUGGCGGCGUGCCUAAUACAUGCAAGUUGAGCGAUGAAGAUUGGUGCUUGCCCCAAUUUGAAGAGCAGCGAACGGGUGAGUAACGCGUGGGGAAUCUGCCCUUGAGCGGGGGACAACAUUUGGAAACGAAUGCUAAUACCGCAUAACAACUUUAAACAUAAGUUUUAAGUUUGAAAGAUGCAAUUGCAUCACUCAAAGAUGAUCCCGCGUUGUAUUAGCUAGUUGGUGAGGUAAAGGCUCACCAAGGCGAUGAUACAUAGCCGACCUGAGAGGGUGAGCGGCCACAUUGGGACUGAGACACGGCCCAAACUCCUACGGGAGGCAGCAGUAGGGAAUCUUCGGCAAUGGACGAAAGUCUGACCGAGCAACGCCGCGUGAGGGAAGAAGGGUGUCGGAUCGUAAAACUCUGUUGGUAGAGAAGAACGUUGGUGAGAGUGGAAAGCUCAUCAAGUGACGGUAACUACCCAGAAAGGGACGGCUAACUACGUG
rnacentral:rRNA from 1 species